GCGCAGCAGGCGAGAAAACUUCACAAUGUGCGAAAGCACGAUGAGGGAAUCCCAAGUGCUUGCACGUAAGUGUAAGCUGUUUCUCUGUCUAAAACGCAGAGAGAGUAAGGGCUGGGUAAGACGGGUGCCAGCCGCCGCGGUAAUACCUGCAGCUCGAGUGGUGACCGUUAUUAUUGGGCCUAAAACGUCCGUAGCCGGUUUAAUAAAUGCCUGGGUAAAUCGGACCGCUUAACGGUUCGAAUUCCGGGUAGACUGUUAAACUUGAGACCGGGAGAAGUUAGAGGUACUCCUGGGGUAGAGGUGAAAUUCUGUAAUCCUAGGGGGACCACCAGUGGCGAAGGCGUCUAACUAGAACGGGUCCGACGGUGAGGGACGAAGCCCUGGGGC
rnacentral:rRNA from 1 species